UACGGAGGGGGCUAGCGUUGUUCGGAAUUACUGGGCGUAAAGCGCGCGUAGGCGGCUUUGUAAGUUAGAGGUGAAAGCCCGGAGCUCAACUCCGGAAUUGCCUUUAAGACUGCAUCGCUAGAACGUCGGAGAGGUGAGUGGAAUUCCGAGUGUAGAGGUGAAAUUCGUAGAUAUUCGGAAGAACACCAGUGGCGAAGGCGGCCUUCUGGACCAAUACUGACGCUCAUGCACGAAAGCGUGGGGAGCAAACAGG
rnacentral:rRNA from 1 species